AAUAGAUACCCAGGUAGUCCACGCCGUAAACGAUGAGUGCUAAGUGUUAGGGGGUUUCCGCCCCUUAGUGCUGCAGCUAACGCAUUAAGCACUCCGCCUGGGGAGUACGGUCGCAAGACUGAAACUCAAAGGAAUUGACGGGGGCCCGCACAAGCGGUGGAGCAUGUGGUUUAAUUCGAAGCAACGCGAAGAACCUUACCAGGUCUUGACAUCCCAUUGACCGCUAUGGAGACAUAGCUUUCCCUUCGGGGACAGUGGUGACAGGUGGUGCAUGGUUGUCGUCAGCUCGUGUCGUGAGAUGUUGGGUUAAGUCCCGCAACGAGCGCAACCCUUGUUCUUAGUUGCCAUCAUUUAGUUGGGCACUCUAAGGAGACUGCCGGUGACAAACCGGAGGAAGGUGGGGAUGACGUCAAAUCAUCAUGCCCCUUAUGACCUGGGCUACACACGUGCUACAAUGGACGGUACAAACGGUUGCCAACCCGCGAGGGGAGCUAAUCCGAUAAAACCGUUCUCAGUUCGGAUUGUAGGCUGCAACUCGCCUACA
rnacentral:rRNA from 1 species